CAAAUAACAAAGUUAACCUGGUGGCACAGUUGCUUCCUCUCAAACUUAAGGUCAUAGGUUCAAUCCCCAAAAACAAUCCAAGUCAGAAUCCAAAACUAGUAAAGAGUGUUGUGGAUAGCCAACAACCAAGUCAAUAUCCAAACUAGCAUGAACUACCAAGAAGUGUAACAAGGUGCUCUAUGUGAAUGUAAUGAAUCGAGAUUUAAUAACAAUAUAAAAUAUUU
rnacentral:lncRNA from 1 species